CCCAAAGCUCGAAACACUUUCCUUUUUCCAGAAAUCCUAUGACCGCGCGGAAAACAAAAUCAAACCAGCCAACAACCAGACCAGGAUGGGAAAAUAUGAACCAAAUCCAAACCACGGGAUAUUAAAUUGCAUAUCACUCCAUCACCAAACAUCAUAAAUACCUUGCCGGAUCAAUUAUCAUUCAUAGAAGACCUUGACAGCACCACAGAGAAAAGAAACAUAUAAGACACGCUCCCGAUAAUUAGACUGUAAGACCAGCAAAACCACCCAAAUCAGAACCACAAACAGAAAGGCACGAAAGAGCUUUAGAUAAAACACAAGUUAGAUUAUAUUCCCCAUUAAGUAUCCAUCACAUCUGUAGCUUUACAUAAGAGACUCUGAAGCUCAUUUUCCAACGGUUUGCAAAGGGUCCAACGAUAUAUGUAAAAUCAGAUUCAACAUUCCUAUAGCACAUGUAGUUUCAGAUAUUAAAAUUGAACUAAGACACUUCCCUUAAGCCACAGAAGAAAGGUACUGACUGGUAGGACAGGUAAAUAAAUUAUCUUUCCGCGUAGUCAAUAGGCCAGAGUAAUGUAGAUGGAACUAGCAAAAACUUUCUUUAAACAGAAGGCCCACCAUCAUUUUUGUAGCAAAUGUCUGUAGACAGAGAGGAAAAGAAGAACAGGGGAUUUGAAGAUUGAUUUGAAAGUAAUAUGACCGUAUAAAGUAGUAAUAUGAAAAUUGAGGGAGCCGUUAGAAAAUACUCUCUCAAAGAAUCUGAGACGCAUCUCACUAAGCCACUACCUGCUGCCGAUCAACACAUUUUGCAACCAGAAGCAAGAAGGUUUUCAUGAGAUAAAUAAAUCAGAAAUUAAAUUAUCUUCCCCGUCAUGUUGUCCGUUAAUCAGACUCAACCUCAGAUCCAACUGCACUAAUCCAUCUUUUGCUGAAGCAAUGGGUUAUCCUGUCCAAAGAUGGAACUUCAGCAGACCCCCUAAAAUACACAAACAAAAGUUACCAAAUGGGAGGACAUCCACCAUCAAUUUUCGAGAGGAAAAGCAAAACCCGGAUAAGGAGAAAAUACUCAAACUUGAAGCUGUUUCUUCUACCAAAAAUCAUAUUUUAACCAUUUCCUUCCAAGUCUAUGCCAUCUCGUAAAAGAAAACCAAACCAACGGACAAGAGAAAUCAUAAUCCAAACCCACACAAUCGAAAAAUAGACAAAAUAGUGGCCGAUAAGGAAACAUCAUACCACAUGCCAUAUCAAAAUCACCCAAAUAGAUUUGAAAACAUAUGGUCAUAUUUCAAAAUUGAAUGAGAAGGAUGAUGAUUACAUAAGAAUAUACAAUCUGGAACUGACAAAAACUCACUGAUCGAUAAGCUAAUUAAAUCACAAAAUAAAUUAUCUUGCCAUCAUCAGAUCCAACCGAGAUCUCUAGCUUAAGCAAUUGGCGAUCCUAUCCACAGUAUUCAGUUGUACUUAAGCUCCUUAUCCAGGUAUACAUACGCUCUAGUAAAAUCAGAUCCUCAUUCUACUUGCACAGUUAGCUUAGCUCCAUAAAUAAACAUGAAACACAACCAACAAAACAGAAAGUACCAAAUAGUAAUAAAGUAGUAAAGCAGUAAAGGGAUUUAAAAGAUACAUUAAAAAAAUUGUGAUAUAAAGUUAUAAAGUUAGAAAAAUAAGGAGAGAGAGAGAGAGAGAGAGAGAGAGAGAGAGAGAGAGAGAGAGAGAUUGAAAUAUCUGGAACUGACGGGAGUUUCAGAGCUGAGUUCCUACUUUAUUACCACAACUGCGGAUCAACACAGUCGAAAGCAACGGUUGAAGGUCAAGAAAUAUCAUAUUGCACAUAUAUAUCAUAAGGAGAAUCAAAGAGAGGUUCUUCAGAUGAGACAAAUAGGUUGAACAUCCAGUAGCAGAUCAAAAUAGCAGUCAAAAGGACGAAACUUUACCGGACACUCUGUUUAGAAUUGUCAUAUAAACACAAUUAAGACAAAAAGGAGAACAUACUCGUAUUCAAAGCGCUUUCUUCUACAAGGAAUCUUGUUCAAACAAGGUUGACAAAAAAUCAAAUCAGCCGAUUACCAAACCCUGGCAAGAUAAAACACAAUCCAAUCGCAUAACGCCUGAUAAUAAACAAUAAUAGACAACUCGUUGAUACCAUACCUAAUACCUCGAAAAUCACCAAAAGAAAACCAAUUCAGAAUCACAAUCAGACGGCCUCGCAAAGAUACGACCCCAAAUCCAUGACGAUACGAUUGUCAAACCGGCAAAAUAACCCCAAAUAAAAUCAAAUCAGGACCACAAUCAGACGGCAUCACAAAAGUGAAGAAAAAAAACACGCGACGGAUAAUCAUUGAAUUGAAUUGCGACGCGACGGAUAAUCAUUGAAUUGAAUUGCGCAGGUUUCUGCAGGAAAAGCAGUAAAGGGAUAUAAAAGAGAUAUUAAAAACAAUUGCAAUCUAAAGUUAGAAAAGUAAGGAGGAUGAGGGAGAGAGAGAGAAAGCAAGAUUGAACAAUUUUUGGAGCUGACGGAUAUCUAAGAGCGGAGUUCCAACUUUAUUACCACACCUGUCGAUCAACAGGUUCCAAAGCAAAGGUCUAGGAAUAUCAUAAGGAGAAUCAAAUCUUAAGGAGCAUCAAAAUCACCACAGAAAAGCACAAUCAAACCCUCUCGCAAAGAGGAGAAAUUGUUAUACCGGCGAAAUCACCCAAAUAAAAUUAAACAGAACCACAAUAAGACAGGAAUCGGAUAAGAGAGAGAAAAAAAAAAAGUAUACAACUGAGAAGUACAAACCUUUUGCAAUUUCAGUUCCAAAAAUUUCAGAAUUUAAAAACUUUGGACACUUAUAUUCCACCGAUGACCAGUUGUGAAUCAGUUAAAAAAAAAAAAAAAAAAAGAGAGAGAGAACGAGAUCUAAGAAAACAAAGAUUACAAGUUAUUAUGAUUCAGAACUUAUUCAACAUUUCAACAUCCAUUUCAUGCAUGACGCAGAGACUAAAUCCCAUUUCUAACGAAAUUUAGAAAAAUGGGAAAAUUUCACAGUUAGAUUUUCUGUGCCAUCCUCCUUUACCCGGGCUUGGGACCGGCUGUGCUGAGCAAAUCUAGCAGGCACAGGUGGAGUUACAAGAAUAUACCUAUAUAUACAACUACCAACACUAAAACGCACACAUAAUCACACAUAGAUAUAAACCGUUCCAGAACAAAUAUUAAAGCUGAGAAAUAGUUUGAUUCAUAUACGAUAGUAGAUUGGAUAAAAGCUUAGUUACUUAUAAAAACUUUUGUACUCAUUUCAAUCAUUCAUUUCCCUUUUCUUUCUUCCAACUAUUGUGGAUAACAUUAGAGAUAAAAGGAAAUACCUCAUGUGAAAAAAAUUACCAAAGUCGUAUCCAAGAGGACAUAAAUUUUAUCAAAUGAGGUAAACUAAUACUCACAUAAUUACAUAUUAAAUUUCACGCACUUGAAAAUUCUCACAUAGUAGAAAUCACGAUGAAGAGCUGACCAAGAACUGUGCAGAAUGGUAAUCCAAAGAAUAUUCAGAAGAUUUUAAACAUCCUCAAAACAGCAGAGCAACAAAUCCAAAGUCUCCUCAUAAGAAUCACAACAUGCGAGCAGAAACAAGGCCCCAACAAUCAACUUCAAAUACUACUUGACAACUGAACAAGGUUUAUCAUUCUGAUAUGCAUAGUGCCAACUUAGCUUGUGUAGAAAAAUUGCCAGGAAGAAAAAACCAAGUCUUCGUAGGAUGCCUAUAACUCAAUGCAUAUAAACCAGAAAGAGAUGUUUAAGGCCACAAUAAAGAAUACUACUCACUUGAUCUGCAGAAGAAGCACGUUCCACACCAACUAAAAAGCACACACAAUUCCAGUGCCAAAUAAAAGAGAAACCGCUAGAAACAAAACUCUGCAUAAACCUUGCGAAGAAACCAAGGAACACCAUACGAAGGCACAUUGGGAGCGUCUUAUUGCUAUUCAUGAUCUCAUAUUUUGUAGUGAAAUUCAUGAGGCAAGUUAAUAUGAUAAAAGUGUAUCCUGGAAUUGAGAAAUUCAUGAUAGGGAUGAUUAACUGAAGACUGCAAAGAAAAAUAAAGAUAAUAAAAAAUCAUAGCUCCGGGAAAGCGAAGCACCGAAAGAUAAAAAGUUAAUAACCAACAAGUAAAAGAAGAGUCUAAAUGCUCGACACAUAGUUGGCAAAAGUUCAAUUAUGAAUAAGCUUUUUAGCCUCUAGUUUAAAGCCCAAUAGAAUAUCAAUGUCAACAUUCGUUUUAGUAGAUUACUUACAAAAGUGAAUUUUCGGACAAAUAGAGACUUCAGAAACUAGUGAACCUAGGAUGGCAUGUUAAUUAAGAAGAAUGCAAGAAACAGAUUUAAAAUGCCACUAUUGAAAAUGAAUUUUAUAUUCCGCAAGUUUAUGAAAAUAUAAAAUAAAAAUCCAAAUUCAAAUCAGUACAUUAUAACUUAUAAUUAUAUAAAUCUGGACAACUAGAAUCCUAAAAAACUCGAGGAAGAACAUAGAAAAUAGAUUAUAGGUAGUAGAAAGAAGUAAAAGAGUCGACGCAGAACAUGCAGCCAAAGCAGAGAUGAGGGAACUUUUUCCUUACUAUCAUGAAUUCUAACCAAUAUAUUAUAAACAGUUACAAUCUACCCGUCAUCAUCCAUAAACUACAAAUUAUAAUUUAUAACCUCUUCAAGAUUAGAAAAUUUUAUAAAUUAAAGAUUAUAGAUUAUAAAUUGCUAAUGUCUAUAUGUAGAAAAAUGAAAAAAAGUUAACUAGGAUUUCUGAGAGAACUAAAAUAAUCUCCAUGUUUUUUUUUUGGCGUAAUAAAGUUCACUAGGAUUUCAUCAGUGCUUUUGGGAGAUUGUGUUUCCUAUUAACUAAUCUUGGCAAGUAAGAAUGAUAUCAAAAUUUGCUUCCAAUGGCCAAAAAAGGGGUUUAGUUAAAGGAAAUAUAUCCAAAAAAGGGUGACGAUAUAAUUAAUAAUUAUUAAUUAAUCAAACCAGUUUAGGCGGAAAUAGGACAGACAAAUCAUAUACUUGCAGCCAAAAAACAGAUUGCCAUCAACAAAAAGUAAUGUAAAUAAGUAGUGUGAUAGAAAGAGCAAUUCAGACCAAUAUUUGUUAUCUUGAAGAAAUUCGUUAACCAAGAAACGUAAACAGGGUCAAUAGCUUACUUUGCUGGUUUCACUGCUUCACAUAAUGUAGAGUCCUUCAAAAAUGUUAACCCAAACCACCAAAUAAUAUAAUAACCACACUUAGGGUGAAAAAUCUUCUUAGAUCAAAGCCAUACAACAUCAACUCGAAUUAGAUCAAAGCACAAGUUCAGUACCAGCUCCAUGUAGGAAAGAUCUCCAAAGAUAAGAACUAUAAAACACAAGCACAACUCGCAAACACAACCCAGAAAUUUCAACGAACAAACUGCCGACAACAGAAAUAACUAAAGAAAUAGAGGAUGUUCAAUCAAACGAGUCUUGGCAAUCCAUUAAGAAGACGUAAGCUGAGAUAAAACCCUUAAAAGGCCUGAAAAUAUAAUACAAAUCGAAUUUCACCUACACCAAAUACGCUGGUUAAUGAAGUGAUGAUGAACGGUCAGAAAAUUCCAACGACAGAGAAUCGAUGGAGAGCAGUUAACAUAUGAUAGGGCCAAUCCCAUCUAGGUUCUCAAAAAAAGGCGAGCAAACCCCAAAACCGGAAGAACAUAGAGAUCAAACAACCAUAGGACUAAACUCAAUGGCAGGGAAGGAGAACAGACUUGUGGAAAUUUUCCAAAAUUCGAAAGCUUUAUCGAAUAUCAAGAAAAUAUCAAGACAAACUGUAUUAUUCUCCACAGCAAAGACAGAUUACCAGGGCCUUAAUGCAUAAUCAUACGUUCCAAUUCAGCCUAUUUUACCACAAAAAAGGAAAGCAAGUCCCAUAACCAGAAAAUACAUCAACUUCCCCAUUAUGUCGUGAUCGAAUCAGUAGCUUUAAGUCAAGACUAUAAACCUCAAAUCCAACUGCAUGCAAAGUUAAGAAAAAAUGAAACAGACGGGGACCGGGUAAACACAGAAGGUAAAAGAAGUCCGAUGAAAUAAAUAAAUCAUCAAUUAAAUCUUCCCCGUAAUGUACCGACCCAAGUAGCUUCCGACAAGAUUCUAAAAACCUCAGACCGAACUGCAAUUUAAAGGACAAAUCAGAUAUAAAAAUCAGGCAACAUCCAUGUAGGAAGGAGGGGUAUUUGAACACAAUAUGGAAAUAGUAGUCCUAUAAAAUAAAUAUAUCACUAAUUAUAUUAUCUUCCACAUUUAGGUAGUGAGAGAUAUUAGGACACAAAAAUUUAUAGUCAAUAAGAAACAACAAAAAUUAGAUCAUCUUCCCCGUUACGUCUCGAUCCCAACAAUAGCUUUAAGUAAGACACUAAACAAAGAACUGCAAGCAAUGGAUAACAAAAUGAAACAUCCAGAUAGGGAGGGUGAAUUAAGUCCCAUCAAAUGCUUCAGACAAAACUUUAAACCUCAAUUCCAACCGCAUCAUAGACAAGAGAGAACAGAACAUCCAGGUGGAAAAGGAUGUAUUAGUACAGAAUAAGGGAGUUUAAGUGCCAUGAAAUAAAUAAAUCAGAAUUUAGGUUAUCUUCCCCAUUACAUAUGAACUCCACCAAUAGCUUUAAGAUAAGAAUCUCAAGUUCAACUGCAUGCAAUCGGCAAGACAAAAUGGAACAUUCAGGUGGGGAGGGGAUAUUAGCACUAAAAUAGGGAAAUUCCCGUGAAAAAAAUCAAUCAUAUGUUAGAUCUUCCCCAUUAUGCCCCACCAAGUAGCUUUAGAUAAAACUGAACCUCUUACAGGCCGCGGCAAAACAAAAAAUCCAGGUGGGGAGGGAGCAUUAGCAUACAAUAAGCGAAUAGCAGUCCUAUGAAAUAAAUAACUCACAAGUUGGAUUAUUUUCCCCGUUAUUUCUCGUUCCCAUAGCUUUAAGAUACGACUCUAAACAUCCAAUCCAACUGUAUUCAACCAGACACAAAAUAAGAGAUUUGGCUGUCUUUUGACUCAAAUAGAUCGGAAAUUAGAUUAUCUUCCCCUUGUGUUUGUGACCUCUGAUCCAAAUGCAUUUACCAGACAGGACAGAAUAAAUCAUCUAAGCCGCGAGGGGGUGAUUAGCACGAAAUAGAACUAUGAAUUUAAAAACAAAAAUUAGUUCCCCAUUUGUUCGAUCCCAUUAGUAGCUUUAAGAUAAGACUCCAAACCCGAGAUCGACUGCAUGAACGAACCAAUGGAACAUCCAGGUGGGGAGGGGGCUUUAGCACACAAGGAAGGAAUAAAAAUGCAAACGAAAUACAUAAAUUAUAUAUUAGAUUAUCUUCCCAAUUUAUGUCUUCAUCCCAUAAUCAUCCAAAUUAUAUAUAACGGACAAACCCUGAGAUCUGAAUCCAACUGCAUUUGAUGGACAAGAAUGAAAAAAAAUUAAGAUGGCUGAGUGGGUGGAGGGAGGAUUGUGUGAGCACACAAUAAUUCAAAAAAUCAAUUAUCUUCUCUAAUAUGCUUCAAUCCAUUCAAUAGCUUUAAGAUAAGACUGUCUAAACCUCAUAUCCAGCCAGCUGCAUUUACUCAGGUCUUUUUCUUACGAGAAAGGUGAUCUGUUCACAUGAUCCAUAAGAGGCUAAAGUCUCGUAAAAUUAGAUUUUCAUCAUUCCAGUAGUUAGCUUUAGAAAAUAAAGAUGAAACUAGCAUGACUUCCUAAAGACCACAAAUCAAAGGUACCAAAUGGUUGGACAACACCGUCAUUUAUGUUUCAAGUUUCUGCAAAUAGAAAGGAAAAACGAAAUAGGAUUUGAAAUGUAAAAAAUAAUAGAUUAUGGAGGGAUUCAAAGAAUAUUAACUUAACAUCACUAUCGUACUCACCACCACUCGUCGAUCAACAGUCAACACAGCCCAAACCAUCUUAUGUAGCAACCGAACUUCUCAAAACAUAACACAAAAUUGUCAUACAACCAAGCAAAUUCACGAAAAGACGGAGAAAUGCUCAAAGCUCGAAACACUUUCCUUUACCCAGAAAUCCUGACCGCGCAGAAUUAAAAAAAAAAAAUCAAACCAGCCAACAACCAGACCAAGAUGGGAAAACAUGAACCAAAUCCAAACCACAUGAUAUUAAAUUGCAUAUCACUCCAUAAGCAAACAUCAUAAAUACCUUGCCAGAUCAAUUAUCAUUCAAAGAAGACCUAGACAGCGCCACAGAGAAAAGAAACAUAUAACAGAGGCUCCCGAUAAUUAGACUGUAAGACCAGCAAAACCACCCAAAUCAGAACCACAAACUGAUAGGCACGAAAGAACUUUAGCUAAAACACAAGUUAGAUUAUCUUCACCAUUAAGUAUCCAUCACAUCUGUAGCUUUACAUAAGAGACUCUGAAGCUCAUUUUCCAACGGUUUGCUUAAGAAAUUGGUGAUCCUGUGCAAAGGGUCCAAGGGAUACAUGUAAAAUCAGAUUCAUCAUUCCUAUAGCACAUGUAGUUUCAGAUAGUAAAAUUGAACUACGACACUUCCCUUAAGCCACAAAAGAAGGGUACUGACUGGUACGCCAGAGUAAUGUCUGCAGACAGAAAGCAAUAUGACCGUAUAAAGUGUAAUAUGAAAAUUGGACGAAAAGGUGAUAGUAGGGAGACAUUAGAAAAUACUCUCUCAAAGAAACUGCCGAUCAACACAUUUUGCAACCAGAAGCCAGAAAUUUUUUAUGAGAUAAAUAAAUCAGAAAUUAAAUUAUCUUCCCCAUCAUGGCGUCCGUUAAUAAACUCAACCUCAGAUCCAACUGCACUAAUCCAUCUUUUGCUGAAGCAAUGGGUUAUCCUGUCCUAAGAUGGAACUACCGCAGACCCCUAAAAUACACAAACAAAAGUUACCAAAUGCGAGGACAUCCACCAUUAAUUUUCGAGAGGAAAAGCAAAGCUGGGAUAAGGAGAAAAUAUUCAAACUUGAAGUUGUUCCUUCUACCAAAAAUCAUAUUUUAACCAUUUCCUUCGAAGUCUAUGCCAUACAUGAAGUAGUACAUUAUCUGACAAACUAAAAGCACAAACAACUCCAGUGCAAAAUAAAAGAGGAACUAAUAGAAAUAGCAUCCAAACGCCUUAGAUGAAGACACAUUUGGGGGCUUAUUGCAAGUCAUUAUCUCAUAUUUUGUAGUGAAGUUCAUGAGGCAAGUGGAUAUGAUAAAACUGUCUCCCGGAACCAAGAAAUUCGUGAUAGGGAUUAACCGAAGACUGUCAAAGAAAAAUAAAGUAAACAAAAAAAAUCACAGCUCCGGAAAAGCGAACCACCCAAAGAUAAAAAGUCAAUAACCAACAAGCAAAAGAAGAGUCAAAAUUCCUAACACAUAAUAGGCAAAAGUUUAGUUAUGAAUAAGAAAUGUCAACACUCGUUUUAGUAGUCAUAUCAAAUUGCAAUUUUACUUGGUAAAGUGAAUUUCGGACAGAUAAUUAUAAUCAAAACUUAUGGAUUGAAACUGGUGGACCUAGGAUGGCAUGUUAAUUAAGAAGAAUGCAAGAAACAUGUUUAAAAUGCACCAUCAAAAAUAAAUUUUAUAUGCAGCAAGUUUAUAAAAAUAUAAAAUAAAAAAUUCAAAUUCGAAUGAGUACAUUAUAAUUUAUAAUUUAUGAAUUAUAUAAAUCUUGAUCAAUAGAAUCCUAAAAAAACUAGAGAAGAACAUAUAAAAUAGGUUAAAUGUAGCAGAAGGAAGCAAAAGACUCCAUGCAGAUCAUGCAGCCUAAGCAGAGAUUAGGGAAUUUUAUCCUUAGUGUAACCAUAUCAUAUAGAAAAUUCUAGCCAAGAUAUUAUAAACAGAUAAUUUCUAGGCAAGAUAUUAUAAACAGAUAAAAUCUAGCCGCAAUCAUCCAUCAAUUAUAAUUUACAAUUUAAAUUAUCCUAUUCAAGAUUAGAAUAUUUAAUAAAUUAAAGAUUCUAGAUUAUUCGAUUACAAAAAGAGAGUAGAGCUAUAUAUGUCAUUAUGAUUACCUUAAUUCCUGCUAAGAAAACUGAGAAACCAGCAUAACACCAUCAACUCAGCAACCAAACUCUACGAGGUACUAGGAAGACGAACCCGAGCAUAGAUAAAUAUGUUUUACUGAACAAUAAAUAUACAGCACAAAAAGCCACAAAAAGAAACCAAAGGACAUGGAGACAAAGUUCAAGAAGCUACACGUAAUUGGAUUUGCCUAUUGUUAAAGUUAUCAAAUGGCAUAAAUAAUUGUUAGUAUAGUAGUUCAAAAUUCAGAUAUGUAAUAUAUUUCGCUAAUGUCUGUGUACAGAAAAAUGAAAAAAGCCAACGAGGAUUUCUGAGAGAAAUAUAUAAUCUCCAUGUUUUUUUCGCAUGAUAAAGUUAACCAGGAUUCAUCGGUGCUUUUGGGGCCUCGUGUAUCCUAUUAACUAAUCUUGGCAAGUACGAAUGAUAUCAAAAUUUUCUUUUAAAGGCCAAAAUAAAAGGUUUGGUCAAGCGAAAUAUGUCCAAAAAAGGGUGAUCUGCUAGCAAUCAAAACAGCACUUUGAUGAUAUAAUUACUAAUUAAUCAAACCAGUUUAGGCAGAAAUAGGACAGACAAAUCAUAAAGUUAAUUAAAAUGCAAACGGUAAGUAAACCUACGUCUGUUUUAAGCAGAGAAUAGAAAUCAAGGACAGAUCAGAAAGCACAAGACAAUGAAACAUCGAUGUAGUGACGAGGUAACAGAAGUCCUCUGAAAUAAAUAAAUCACAAAUUAGUUGUCUUCCCCAUUGUGCCUUUAGACAAGACUUUAACCUCAGAUCCAACUGCAUUUAAUAGACAAGAUAGAAAAAAAGCACAUAAGGUAAUAGAAAUACUAUGAAAUAAACAAAUCACAAAAUGCGCCAACUUCCCCAUUAUGUCGUGAUCCAAUCAGUAGCUAAGACUCUAAACCUCAAAUCCAACUGCAUGCAAAGUUAAGAAAAAAUGAAACAGACGGAGGGUAAAAAAACACAGAAGGUAAAAGAAGUCCUAUGAAAUAAAUAAAUCAUCAAUUAGAUCUACCCCUUUAUGUCCCGACCCAAGUAGCUUCCGAUAAAACUGCAAUUUAAAGGACAAAUCAGAUUACAAAGGUGGUGUUUGCAAAUGAUUAUUAAAAGCAGAAGUUAGUGAUUGUGAGUUAAGUCAGUUUUAAGUGCUUAUUUCUAAAAGUUGGGGGUGUUUUCAAAUAUUCCGGCAAAUGAACUUAAAUAGAAAAAGCUCAAAGAAGAUUAUUUUAAGAGAAGCAAAAGCAAAAUUAGAUUUCGCAAACACCUGAAAACAGAUUAUGAGUAAAAAAAGCUCAUAAUCACUUUCAAAAAGCGUUUACAAACACCACCAAAGUCAGGCAACAUCAAUGUAGGAAGGGGAUAUUAAAACAACAUGUAAAUAGUAGUCCUAUGAAAUAAAUAUAUCACUAAUUAUAUUAUCUUCCCCAUUAUGUCGCGAUCCGUUGCCAGCUUUUCUCACAUCCAACUGCAUUUACCAGACAAUAAAACAUCUAGGCAGUGACACAAAAAGGUGACAGAAUUCCUAGGAAACAAAUAAAUGAAAAUUAGAUCAUCUUCCCCAUUAUGUCUCGAUCCCAACAGGUAAGACACUAAACUCAGAACAACUGCAAGCAAUGGACAAGACAAUGACACAUCAAAGUAGGGAGGGGGAAUUAGCAAACAAGAAGUAAUAGAAGUCCUAAGAAAUAAACAGAUCACAAAUUAGUUAUCUAUCCCAUUAACUCUUUGUCCCAUCAAUGGCUUCAGCAAAACUCUAAACAUCAGAUCCAAUUGCAUUUACCAGGAAUGACGAAAUAAAACAUUUAGGUAGUGACAGAUAUUAGCAAACAAAAAGGUUAGAGUCACUAAGAAACAAAUAAAUAAACAAUUAGAUCACCUUCCACGUUACGUCUCGAUCCCAACAAUAGCUUUAAGGUAAGACACUAAACUCAGAACAACUGCAAUCAAUGGUAAACAGAAUGAAACAUCCAGGUAGGGAGGGUGAACAAAUCAUAAAUUAGUUAUCUUCCUCGUUUUAUCUCUGUCCCAUCAAUGGCUUCAGACAAGACUCUAAACCUCAAACCAAACUGCAUGUCAUAGACAAGGGAGAACAUAAAAUCCAGGUGGAGAGUGGAUGUAUUAGCACAGAACAAGGGAGUAUAAGUGCCCGCGAAAUAAAUAAAUCAAAAAAUUAGAUUAUCUUCCCCAUUAUGUAUGGACUCCACCAGUAGCUUUAAGAUAAGAAUCUAAACCUCAAAUUCAACUGCUGCAUGCAAUGGAACAUUCAGGUGGGGAGGGAGCAUUAGCACUAUAUAAGGGAAUAGCAGUCCUAUGAAGUAAAUAGCUCACAAUUUAGAUUAUCUUCCCCGUAGCUUUAAGAUACAACUCUAAACCUCCAAUCACAGCUGCAUUUAACGGCAAAACAGAACAAAACAUCCAGGUAUGCCCAUUAGCACAAAAUAAGAGAUUGGCUGUCUUAUGACUUAAAUAGAUCCCAAAUUAGAUUAUCUUCCCCUUAUGUUUGUGCCCAUCACAGCUGUUAAGAUAAGACUCCAAACCUCAGAUCCAACUGCAUUUACCAGACAGGAGGACAGAAUAAGAUUAGCACGAAAUAGAACUCUGAAAUUAAAAAAACACAAAUUAGAUCAUCUUCCCCAUUAUGUUCGAUCCCAUUAAUAGCUUUAAGAUAAGACUCCAAACCCGAGAUCCAACUGCAUGCAAUGGACAAACCAAUGGAACAUCCAGGUGGGGAGGGGGCAUUGGCACACAAGAAAGGAAUACAAAUGCAACAAAAUAAAUAAAUCAUAUCUCAGAUUAUCUUCCCAAUUUAUGUCUUCAUCCCACCAGUCAUCCAUAUUGUACAUAACAGACAAACCCUGAGAUGCAUUUGAUGGACAAGAAAGAACCAAAAAAUAAGCUCACAAUAAAUCAAAAAGCUCAUAUCCAAAAGAACCAAAAAAUAAGCUCACAAUUAAUCAAAAAGCUCAUAUCCAACUGCAAGUCUAGUAAAAUUAGAUUUUCAUCAUUCCAGUAGUUAGCUUUAGAAAAUAACUUCCUAAAGACGACAAUCAAAGGUACCAAAUGGUUGGACAACCACCGUCAUUUUUGUUGUAAGUUUCUGCAAAUAGAAAGGAAAAACGAAAUAGGAUUUGAAAUAUAAAAAAGAAUAGACUAUGGAGGGAUUCAUAAGAAUAUAAAACUUGGCAUCACUAUCGUACUCACCAGCACUCGUUGUUCAACACAACCCAAAUCACUAUCGUACUCACCACCACUCGUUGUUCAACACAGCCCAAAUCAUACUAUGUAGCAACCGAACUUCUCAAAACAUAACAAGAAAUUGCCAUAUUCACGAAAAGAUGGAGAAAUGCCCAAAGCUCGAAACACUUUCCUUUUUCCAGAAAUCCUAUGACCGCGCGGAAAACAAAAUCAAACCAGCCAACAACCAGACCAGGAUGGGAAAAUAUGAACCAAAUCCAAACCACGGGAUAUUAAAUUGCAUAUCACUCCAUAACCAAACAUCAUAAAUACCUUGCCCGAUCAAUUAUCAUUCAUAGAAGACCUUGACAGUACCACAGAGAAAAGAAACAUAUACGACACGCUCCCGAUAAUUAGACUGUAAGACCAGCAAAACCACCCAAAUCAGAACCACAAACAGAAAGGCACGAAAGAGCCUUACAUAAAACACAAGUUAUAUUCCCCAUUAAGUAUCCAUCACAUCUGUAGCUUUACAUAAGAGACUCUGAAGCUCAUUUUCCAACGGUUUGCAAAGGGUCCAAGAUAUAUGUAAAAUCAGAUUCAUCAUUCCUAGAGCACAUGUAGUUUCAGAUAUUAAAAUUGAACUACGACACUUCCCUUAAGCCACAGAAGAAAG
rnacentral:lncRNA from 1 species